rnacentral:rRNA from 1 species
GACGAACGCUGGCGGCGGGCUUAACACAUGCAAGUCGAACGGAAAGGCCCUGCUGUUGUGGGGUGCUCGAGUGGCGAACGGGUGAGUAACACGUGAGUAACCUGCCCUUGACUUUGGGGUAACUUCAGGAAACUGGGGCUAAUACCGGAUAGGAGCUCCUGCUGCAUGGUGGGGGGUGGAAAGUUUCGGCGGUUGGGGAGGGUAGCGCGGCUGAUCAGCGUCUUGGGGGGGUAGUGGCUUACCAAGUCUUUGACGGGGAGGCGGCCUGAGAGGGUGAACGGCCACAUUGGGACUGCGGGAGGGCCCAGACUGCAACGGGAGACAGCAGGGGGGAACAUUGUACAACGGGGCGAAGCCUGUUGAAGAGACGCCGCGUGUGGAAAGACGGCCUUCGGGUUGUAAACCGAUUUAGCCUGUGACGAAGCGUCAGUGACGGUAAUGGGAAAAGAAGCACCGGCUAACUCCGUG